rnacentral:rRNA from 1 species
GAUGAACGCUGGCGGCGUGCCUAAUACAUGCAAGUCGAGCGAACGGACGAGAAGCUUGCUUCUCUGAUGUUAGCGGCGGACGGGUGAGUAACACGUGGAUAACCUACCUAUAAGACUGGGAUAACUUCGGGAAACCGUAGCUAAUACCGGAUAAUAUUUUGAACCGCAUGGUUCAAAAGUGAAGGACGGUCUUGCUGCCACUUAUAGAUGGAUCCGCGCUGCAUUAGCUAGUUGGUAAGGUAACGGCUUACCAAGGCAACGAUGCAUAGCCGACCUGAGAGGGUGAUCGGCCACACUGGAACUGAGACACGGUCCAGACUCCUACGGGAGGCAGCAGUAGGGAAUCUUCCGCAAUGGGCGAAAGCCUGACGGAGCAACGCCGCGUGAGUGAUGAAGGUCUUCGGAUCGUAAAACUCUGUUAUUAGGGAAGAACAUAUGUGUAAGUAACUGUGCACAUCUUGACGGUACCUAAUCAGAAAGCCACGGCUAACUACGUG